rnacentral:rRNA from 1 species
UGGGGAAUAUUGGGCAAUGGGCGCAAGCCUGACCCAGCGACGCCGCGUGGGUGAUGAAGGCCUUCGGGUCGUAAAGCCCUGUCAGGUGGAAAGAAUGGGCAGUGUGCAAAUAGCACAGUGCCGUGACGGUACCACCGAAGGAAGCACCGGCCAAUUCCGUGCCAGCAGCCGCGGUAAGACGGAAGGUGCAAGCGUUGCUCGGAAUCACUGGGCGUAAAGGGUGCGUAGGCGGCCUCGUAAGUCUGACGUGAAAUCCCUCGGCUUAACCGGGGAACUGCGUCUGAUACUGGAUGGCUUGAGGUUGGGAGAGGGAUGCGGAAUUCCAGGUGUAGCGGUGAAAUGCGUAGAUAUCUGGAGGAACACCGGUGGCGAAGGCGACAUCCUGGACCAAUUCUGACGCUGAGGAGCGAAAGCCAGGGGAGCAAACGGGAUUAGAUACCCCGGUAGUCCCUGAGCGGGCUGGCAAGGCGCAU